rnacentral:snRNA from 1 species
AGGAACCUUUCCCUUUUA